rnacentral:sRNA from 1 species
UAUUAGCCCCGAUAAAAGCGACAUCCUUUUUUGGGUUUGGAGAAAUCUCCUAGGUUUUCAAAACCUAGGAGGUUUAGCUUUGGAGAAAAAAAGAUACAGCGGAUAGCGGGAAAUAGC